AGUUUUGAGCUAAAUAUAUUAUAAUAUUAGUUAUUUAUAAAGGUGUUGUAAAACCUUAUUAAAAAUUAUAUUUAGGGGUGAUAGGCCUUUCAAAAACUAAGAUAUCUUGAAUCUAAUUAAAAGUAUGUAGUACAUUUGACACAACUAUUAAGUGAUUAGGCUUUAUAGAAUUAUUAACUUAUAAAGAUUUUAUUUACUAUAAUUUAAUAAUUAAGUAUGUAAAUAUAUUAAUAUAUAUAUAUUAUAAUUUAUAAAGAGUAAUUAGAUAAAUUAAAGUUCAUAAAUUUUUGUAAUAAUGUUAAUAUUAGUAUUAAGCUUAUAUUUAUAUGAUGAACUCGGCAAAAAUGCUUCUCAACUGUUUAUCAAAAACAUAACUAUGUGAAUUAAUACAUAGCGGUUUCUGCUCAA
rnacentral:rRNA from 1 species